CCAGCAGGGAGAGUACUGCUUAGAGAAGCAGCCAAGAGGCCCAUGGUUACUCUGGAGGAGCUGCAGAGAUCCACAGCUCAGUCACAGAACCUUCAGUAGCUGUUGAGAAGAGGCUCGAGCUCCAGAGGAAGGAUGGGAACACUGUGCUUUCUGGUUCUGAUCGUGAUCAAUCUAAACGGUAUUCAGUCAGACAGCAGUGGAUGGGGUGUGAACUAUCCUGGAUCAAUCUGUGCUGUGAGAGGAUCGAAUGUUAGCAUUCUCUGCUCUUAUUUCUAUCCUUCUUUACAUGAAGUGGAAACAGUCCGUUGGUGCUCAAUGAACUCGAAUAAAUUAAAGUGUGAUGAUAAUCCACCAUAUGUUUAUGACAGCAGCUCUAACAGCGCUUCAGACGAAUUUAAGUACACUGGAAACAAACAGUCAAACUGUACUUUAUUAAUCAGUAAUGUACAGUUCAACCGUUCUGUACAAUAUCAAUUCAGAUUCAUAACUAAUGUGACAGGUGGCAAAUGGACAGGAGAUCCUGGAGUGACUCUUCAAGUAGGAGGUAAAUACUCAGAUUAACAUAAACCUUCUCAUCAUUUAACUUAAAAAAACACCAAAAGUACAUUAUCGCUGAGCUUAACUAUCUU